GGAUCCCCUCCCAUCACGACUUCUACAUGCAAGUCGAGCGGCAGCACGGGUACUUGUACCUGGUGGCGAGCGGCGGACGGGUGAGUAAUGCCUAGGAAUCUGCCUGGUAGUGGGGGAUAACGCUCGGAAACGGACGCUAAUACCGCAUACGUCCUACGGGAGAAAGCAGGGGACCUUCGGGCCUUGCGCUAUCAGAUGAGCCUAGGUCGGAUUAGCUAGUUGGUGAGGUAAUGGCUCACCAAGGCGACGAUCCGUAACUGGUCUGAGAGGAUGAUCAGUCACACUGGAACUGAGACACGGUCCAGACUCCUACGGGAGGCAGCAGUGGGGAAUAUUGGACAAUGGGCGAAAGCCUGAUCCAGCCAUGCCGCGUGUGUGAAGAAGGUCUUCGGAUUGUAAAGCUCUUUAAGUUGGUAGGAACGGGAUUUACAUGAUGCCUAGCUG
rnacentral:rRNA from 1 species